UCGGAGGGAGCGCGCUCCUUUUGAAACGGGAGGAGGAGAUCCGCAUAGCUUAAAGGUGGGCUAGCGGUAGCUGACCCUCCGGGUCUCGAGUGGGGACCAGAGGAGGGGGCAUCUGUGUCGGCGGGGACCUCUCCGUGGGUUUGUCUGGCAGUGGCCACAGCUUUUUUCACUGGGCACGCCUUGGGCCGGCCGCGAGCUGUGAUCUACCGUGGCCAGGCCGCUCAGCCUCCCUCCAAACAAGCAGGAGGUUUUCUCCAGCUGGUCAAGAGAGUGGAAAUAAGAGACAUUCCAAGUGUGAUAAGGAUUCGAUGCAUAAUUAUGGUCAGCCUCCAGGAGCUCAGAACAGCCUCCAGCUAACAGCCCGCAGAGAAAUGAGGACUUCAAUCGUAUAACUGCCAAGUACUGCUGACAACCUAAAUCAGCCUCCAAGCGACCUCUUGCCCAGAGACUCCAGAUAAGAAAACCGCCCUUGAUUUCUUACAAAAUUCUAUGUGAGAACCAAGCCAAGCCUGCCUGGACUUCUGUCCUACAGAAGCAAGCUAAUAAAUUCAUGUUGUUUUAAGCCUCUAAA